GACUACACGGGUAUCUAAGCCCGUUUGCUACCCUAGCUUUCGCGUCUGAGCGUCAGAAAUGGGCCAGGAGGCCGCUUUCGCCACUGGUGUUCCUCCGGAUAUCUACGCAUUUCACCACUACACCCGGAAUUCCACCUCCCUCUCCCACUCUCAAGUCCGGAAGUAUUGAACGACCUCUCCCAGUUAAGCCAGGAGCUUUCACAUCCAACUUUCCGAACCGCCUGCACGCGCUUUACGCCCAGUAAAUCCGAAUAACGCUUGCCUCCUACGUGUUACCGCGGCUGCUGGCACGUAGUUAGCCGAGGCUUAUUCUGGAGGUACUGUCCUUCCUCAUCCCUCCAAAAAGUGCUUUACGACCCGAAGGCCUUCAUCGCACACGCGGCGUUGCUGGUUCAGGCUUUCGCCCAUUACCAAUAUUCCCUACUGCAGCCCCCCGUAGG
rnacentral:rRNA from 1 species